CCGACGGGUGGCAGCAGUGGGGAAUAUUGGACAAUGGGCGAAAGCCUGAUCCAGCCAUGCCGCGUGUGUGAAGAAGGCCUUCGGGUUGUAAAGCACUUUCAGUGGGGAAGAAAGCCUUGGGGCUAAUACCCUCGAGGAAGGACAUCACCCACAGAAGAAGCACCGGCUAACUCCGUGCCAGCAGCCGCGGUAAUACGGAGGGUGCGAGCGUUAAUCGGAAUUACUGGGCGUAAAGCGCGCGUAGGCGGUCUGAUAAGCCGGUUGUGAAAGCCCCGGGCUCAACCUGGGAACGGCAUCCGGAACGGUCAGGCUAGAGUGCAGGAGAGGAAGGUAGAAUUCCCGGUGUAGCGGUGAAAUGCGUAGAGAUCGGGAGGAAUACCAGUGGCGAAGGCGGCCUUCUGGACUGACACUGACGCUGAGGUGCGAAAGCGUGGGUAGCAAACAGGAUUAGAUACCCUUGUAGUC
rnacentral:rRNA from 1 species